rnacentral:rRNA from 1 species
AGUCGGACGGAACGAUAGAGAAGCUUGCUUUUCUAGGCGUCGAGUGGCGGACGGGUGAGUAACGCGUGGGAAUCUACCCUAUAGUUGGGGACAACGUAUGGAAACGUACGCUAAUACCGAAUAUGCUCUACGGAGUAAAGGAGCCCUCUUCUUGAAAGGUUUCGCUAUAGGAUGAGCCCGCGUGAGAUUAGCUAGUUGGUAAGGUAAUGGCUUACCAAGGCAACGAUCUCUAGCUGGUUUGAGAGGAUGAUCAGCCACACUGGGACUGAGACACGGCCCAGACUCCUACGGGAGGCAGCAGUGGGGAAUAUUGCACAAUGGACGAAAGUCUGAUGCAGCCAUACCGCGUGUGUGAAGAAGGCCCGAGGGUUGUAAAGCACUUUCAAUUGUGAGGAAGGUAGUGUAGUUAAUACCUGCAUUGCUUGACGUUAACUUUAGAAGAAGCACCGGCUAACUCUGUGCCAGCAGCCGCGGUAAUACAGAGGGUGCAAGCGUUAUUCGGAAUUACUGGGCGUAAAGCGCGCGUAGGCGGACUAUUAAGUCAGUUGUGAAAGCCCUGGGCUCAACCUAGGAACUGCAUCUGAUACUGGUAGUCUAGAGUUUAGGAGAGGGAAGUGGAAUUCCAGGUGUAGCAGUGAAAUGCGUAGAUAUCUGGAGGAACAUCAGUGGCGAAGGCGACUUCCUGGCCUAAAACUGACGCUGAGGUGCGAAAGCAUGGGUAGCGAACGGGAUUAGAUACCCUGGUAG